rnacentral:rRNA from 1 species
UACGGAGGGUGCAAGCGUUAUCCGGAUUCACUGGGGUUAAAGGGUGCGUAGGUGGGCAGGUAAGUCAGUGGUGAAAUCUUCGAGCUUAACUCGGAAACUGCCGUUGAUACUAUCUGUCUUGAAUACCGUGGAGAUGAGCGGAAUAUGUCAUGUAGCGGUGAAAUGCUUAGAUAUGACAUAGAACACCAAUUGCGAAGGCAGCUCGUUACACGAAUAUUGACUCUGAGGCACGAAAGCGUGGGGAUCAAACAGG